CACGGCCGGCCCCAGCCGGCCCCCAUCUCUCACGAAGCUGUUCUAAGCAGGCUGCUUCAGCUUGGGAGACGGAGGCCAUCAAAAGCUGAUGCAGUGACCUUUGAAGCACCACUGGGAUGGAGCAGAGGGUGCGAGGUCACCCUAGGGCCACCGCUGCCUAGCCUGCCAUAGGAAGUGCCCAACCGGGCACACGGCACAGCUGGCAGGCACCACAGGGCACCGAAGAGAAGGCACCAGCCACAGCCCACACGCCUCUGGUCUCCCUCCCCA